rnacentral:rRNA from 1 species
CAACAGGGAUUGCCUCAGUAACUGCGAGUGAAGCGGCAAAAGCUCAAAUUUGAAAUCUGGCGUUCAUCGUCCGAGUUGUAAUUUGGAGGGGUAACUUCGGAAACGACGCCGCUCUAUGUUCCUUUGAACAGGACAUCACAGAGGGUGAGAAUCCCGUGCUUGGGCGGAUCGUCGCGACCAUGAGAAGUGCCUCCGACGAGUCGAGUUGUUUGGGAAUGCAGCUCAAAAUGGGUGGUAAAUUUCAUCUAAAGCUAAAUAUUGGCGAGAGACCGAUAGCGCACAAGUAGAGUGAUCGAAAGAUGAAAAGAACUUUGAAAAGAGGGUCAAACAGUACGUGAAAUUGUUGAAAGGGAAGCGCUUGAGAUCGAACUCAGUCGACCGCACACAACCGAGCUUCUGCUCGGUCCACUGGUGGUCGACUGGGCCAGCAUCGGUUCUGACGGCGGGAUAAAGGGUCGGGAAACGUGGCUCGCCUCGUGCGAGUGUUAUAGUCCCGCGCCGUAAUACCGCCAGUCCGGGACCGAGGACCGCGCUUCGGCUAGGAUGCUGGCGUAACGGUCUUAAGCGACCCGUCUUGAAACACGGACCAAGGAGUCUAACAUCUAUGCGAGUGUUCGGGUGGAAAACCCUUGCGCGUAAUGAAAGUGAACACAUUGAAGGUGGGAACCCGCAAGGGUGCACCAUCGACCGAUCCGGAUGUCUUCGGAAGGAUUUGAGUAUGAGCAUAGCUGUUGGGACCCGAAAGAUGGUGAACUAUGCCUGAAUAGGGUGAAGCCAGAGGAAACUCUGGUGGAGGCUCGCAGCGGUUCUGACGUGCAAAUCGAUCGUCGA